GAUGAACGCUGGCGGCGUGCCUAAUACAUGCAAGUCGAGCGAACAGACGAGGAGCUUGCUCCUCUGACGUUAGCGGCGGACGGGUGAGUAACACGUGGAUAACCUACCUAUAAGACUGGGAUAACUUCGGGAAACCGGAGCUAAUACCGGAUAAUAUAUUGAACCGCAUGGUUCAAUGGUGAAAGACGGUUUUGCUGUCACUUAUAGAUGGAUCCGCGCCGCAUUAGCUAGUUGGUAAGGUAACGGCUUACCAAGGGGACGAUGCGUAGCCGACCUGAGGGGGUGGUCGGCCACCUGGGAGCUGAGCCACCGUCCAGACUCCUACGGGAGGCAGCAGUAGGGAAUCUUCCGCAAUGGGCGAAAGCCUGACGGAGCAACGCCGCGUGAGUGAUGAAGGUCUUCGGAUCGUAAAACUCUGUUAUGAGGGAAGAACCAAUGUGUAAGUAACUAUGCACGUCUUGACGGUACCUAAUCAGAAAGCCACGGCUAACUACGUG
rnacentral:rRNA from 1 species